rnacentral:snoRNA from 1 species
AUCCUUUUGUGGUUCAUAAGCUUGAUAAAUGUGUGUUCACACAUUUGUGUGAGAUGUGCCUCCCUGAAACUUUGUUACUACGUCGGCACAUUACCCCACUGACA